AUUGAACGCUGGCGGCAGGCCUAACACAUGCAAGUCGAACGGUAACAGGAAGAAGCUUGCUUCUUUGCUGACGAGUGGCGGACGGGUGAGUAAUGUCUGGGAAACUGCCUGAUGGAGGGGGAUAACUACUGGAAACGGUAGCUAAUACCGCAUAACGUCGCAAGACCAAAGAGGGGGACCUUCGGGCCUCUUGCCAUCGGAUGUGCCCAGAUGGGAUUAGCUAGUAGGUGGGGUAACGGCUCACCUAGGCGACGAUCCCUAGCUGGUCUGAGAGGAUGACCAGCCACACUGGAACUGAGACACGGUCCAGACUCCUACGGGAGGCAGCAGUGGGGAAUAUUGCACAAUGGGCGAAAGCCUGAUGCAGCCAUGCCGCGUGUAUGAAGAAGGCCUUCGGGUUGUAAAGUACUUUCAGCGGGGAGGAAGGGAGUAAAGUUAAUACCUUUGCUCAUUGACGUUACCCGCAGAAGAAGCACCGGCUAACUCCGU
rnacentral:rRNA from 1 species